UAAUAAAUUGUUUCCUGCGAUAUAAUAAUGAUAUAUAAAAUAAAAUUUAAAAAAUAUAAAUAUAAAUAUAUGUAAUUUCUAAGGAAUAAUUCCUUUUGAUUUUCUUAUAAUUUUUACUUUUUUUUAAAAUGAUAAUGACUAUCAUGGAUUGAUCAUGUAAGGGGCUAAAAGUGUAAUAAAAAUAAGAUUAUAAAUAAAAAAACAAAUGCUAAUCCGAUUGAUGAAAUUAAUGAAAUAAUCAUUUAAAGAAUGAUAUUAAAGAACAUGAAUAAAUCGAUAAAUAUAUACAACGACACGAAUAUAAAUAUUUACAAAAAGAUUUCAAAUUUUGAGCGAUCGAAAGAAGAUAAAACUAGAAAAAAAUUUUCGAUCGCUGAACUAGCUAACUUCAGCUAGCUACACGAUACUAUAUUGCACAUCAUUCUCGCGUCCUCGACAUUAAAACGAAGAAAAGAAAACAUGAUUUAAUGUCGAUCUUUCUAAUUAUUUUUUUUAAGACGACACGAUCAAGAAUCUCUUUCUUCGCUGAAAAGUCAAUAACAGUAAUGACGCACGUAAUUAGGAAAAAUAAUCAUCUAAAAAAUAGUCCAAAUUUCGCGAGGGAAAUACGCCGAUUAUGUAAAGAGGACGAGGAAGAACAUGAAAGGAUCCACGGAAGGCGAAUAUUCUCUAAGCGAGAACGACGAGCUUUAUCGAUUUCACGCGGAUCACGAAUCUUUGGCACACAUUGGAAGAUUCCAUCGAAAACCCAUCAAAGAUUCAAUCGAAGAUUCAUCGACGAUUUAUCGAACGAUCGAUUGAUCGAUAUAGAAAUAAUGUUUUCUGAGUUAGCAUAACAUUUUUAUUUUUCUUUCAAAAAUAUCAACAUUUAUGUCGAUAUGAACAAUUAACCUUUUUAAUAUGCUCGAGUUUAAUACAAAUUAUUGUUGCAAAUGGACUUUUUAUAUUUUUAUUUAUUUUUUAGUGAUGUUAUUUUGACAUGUUUAUGUUCUUUGGCAACAAAAUUUAAAUUAUUAAAUUCCCAUCGAUAAUAAUAAUUAUAGAUAAUUAAGAAUUCAUUAAAAAAUUUGCAAAAAUCUGACUUAAAUUAAUAAUGUCAGAAAUUAUUGUUAAACGUUAAUAAGUAAAUAUCAAGAGAACAUUAUAAAUGAUUUUUCUGUUACAAAUAAAUAUUUAUAUUAACGAAAAGGUUAAUCAUUUAAAAAUGUUUAAUUACUGAUUUAUUUUGCUAUCUAAGUAAAAUAACAUCGGUACCUUAUUAUUAGAUUAACUCAGGAAACAUUGUUCGACAGUCUUGCUUCGAAUAUACGUAUCAUCAUCGAACAUCAUUACAAUCAUCUAAAAAAUGGACACCGAACGAAACGACACGCUUAUGCAUAUAUGCAUGUGUACUGACCAUCGUGCACCGUGUAUUGAAACACAUAUUGUAUUGGGAGUUAAUAUUGAACUCUGGAUAUAAAUACGAACAACGAUCAAGAUAAAGAUCAAGAAAAAUUCCAUCUAACCAUUCUUAUCUUUCUUUCUUGAUUUCACUAUUUUCAUUUCGUUCUCAGAGCUCGAUUCUAGAAGACACUGAAUUUACCCUGCAAUGAAUAUACACACAGAGAAUAAUUGAAAAAUCUGAAUCCGAUUUUGCUCGCCAGAUGUCAUUGAAGCGAAUUAUAAAAGCACGCUCUAGUUUAAAAAUGACGAACUAAUAAUACAUCCUUGAUCUGUAGAAUCAUUUGUACAUACCGAUUUGAUUCUUACAAUAUAUAUUAUAGAUUUUAUAAUCUAUAUUGAAAUUUUACAAUUUCUUUCUUUUUUUUAACGUUACUAAUGUUUCAUUGUGUACUUUAUUAGUUGAUUAACAUAAGAACAGUUCGUGCAAUCCAACAUUGAAGAAAUUCGUUAUAGUUCUAUUCUAGGUUAUGACAAACGAAGCUUCUAUGGAAAAAACCUGGAACAAAGAUAAACGACUAAUAAACGGCGGAAGAACAACUUGAAUUGGAGAUUGAAGAUGAAGAAGAGGAUAAAGAAGAAAACGUUUUUUGAUGAAAACUAAGUUUUCAGCUCGCACACCUUUUCAUUAUUUUAUCUCCUCUAACUCUGUUUAUUUUUCUCUUCACUUUCUUUUUUUUUUAAAUAGUAUAAUUUAUACUCCACGUAAUAAUUUUAUUUUUUUCUUUCAAUAGAAGAAUGCCUAUCAUCAAUUCGAUAUUUCAUAAUAUUAUCGAAUAUUAUCUUCGAUUAACGAAUCGAAUUGACGAUAUUUUUUUUCUUUUUUUCGACAAUUUUGUCGUUUAUAUUUUUUUUAUUUCUUAUUUUUUUCUUUAAAGAUUUGCCAUACUGGAUUCGAAACCGGUUCCAAACUCUGGCUUCGAGGCUUUUUAAGAUGAUAUUUUCAAAGAGGAACUCGACGAGAGAUCCAGCUACGGCCAUGGUCACUUCGAGCUAAAAGAAAAGAAACACGAAUGCUUUCUUUUCUUUUUAAUAUUAAUUUUCAAAUCGAUCUUUAUCUCUUUUGUUUGAGAAUUCAUCAAAAUAGAAAAUAUUGAUAUUUUUAAUAAUUGGUAAACUGCUUUCUUUUUAUUACGAUUUUAAGUAAAUUUUACCAAUGGAAGAUGACAAAGAUUUAAUGAUUGGAAAGCAUCGGUGGUUACGAAAAUUGAUGAUUUGUUCAAAAUUUAACAAAUCUAUCAUAUAUUAUUUUUAUACUUCAUAAAAUAUGAACAAUGUCAAGAAAGUAAAAAUUAAUAAAAAUGUUGGGAUGUUCUAAUGUAUUAAAUUAAAACUUUAUUGACUAAAUAUGAUUGAUAUAAUAUAUAUAAUUAAAUUUAUACUUAUAUUUUCUCUUUUAUAUAGAUUAUAUAACAAAUUGAAUAUUGGAAGAAAUUAUUUAAAGUUAUUAUCAUUAAAUAAAAUUUAAUGAAAAUAUUCGAACCUGAAAUAAAUAAAUAAUUUAUGAUUAUGAUACUGCAGAAAAUAUAAUAAAUAAAGGAUUUAUUUGAAUGAAAUGUGCAAGACGAAUUGAAUGGCGCGCGCAUAACUAAUGGCUGCUUAGUCUACUUCUUCGAAUGAAUUACCGAGCAUCGUAAAGAUUUUAUGAUGCAUUAUGUUUGGUGAAAUACUUCAGCCAUACUAGAGAGCUAAAUUAUGCAUUGAAUGCAUCAAUUUAUCGAUUAUUAUGCAACAAAAAUGAAUAAAAAGUUGCUUUGUACUAAAGACAAAAGGUAAUAAUUAUAAUAUUUAAAAUUUAAUAUCAAUUAUAUAUUUUACAAUUAAUUAUGUUAAAUUAAUUUUCUAUAAUUCUCUGCUAAUUCUUCACUUCCUUUAAAUUAUAAAAAUUAUAUAUAAUUAAAAUAUAUAUUUUAAAGUUUAUAUUUUCUUUCCUAAUAUAAUCAUCUAACUAAUUUUUAUUAAAACCCUUAAUAUUUUUAUUAGUUAAUUAUAGAGUUUUACUUUUUAUUUAUUAUUUUUAUUAUUUCUCUUUUUCUAAAUAAGAACAAAUAAAUUUAAUAAUAAGAAGAAUAAAUCUUAUUCUUUACAAUGAAAACAAAUAAAAUAUUUUUUGUUCAUUGUUGCACAUAACAUUUAUGCACAUAAAUUUGUCUAUAGAUAAAUUAAUAAAUAUAACAAUAGACACACAAAUAUAAUUUCUAUUACAAAAUAACAAUAUUCAAAACAAAUUUAAUUAAAUGUUAAAUUUAAAGAAUUUCCACUUUCACCGAGGCUUUCCAAAAAAAAAUUAAAUUAAUUAUCAUUAUGGAUGAUAAUAAUGGAAUAAGAUUUUUAAAAAAUGGCACAAAAUUUUAAUAAUUUUAAGAAUCUUGUUUUUAAAUUGAUCAGGACUCUACUUGAUAAGAUCUCUGAUAAUCUGAACACAUUAAAACAGCAUAUUGAUUUUAUUCUAGAUCUCCUCUUAAUCUCUGUCGAGUCUCCGUCAUGGCUUCAAACAGAUAAAGAACUUAUAUUGAAUCUCCUAAAAGAUGGUCAAUUCAUUGAAAAGGGACAAGAAGACUAUUGUCUCAAAAAUUAAUCAAUUAUCAAGUUAAAGACCCCUCUACUUCGUCUCGAUCGACGCAGAAAACCAACAGAAUUAUAGAAAAUAACACUUGGGCUGUAUUUGAUGAUGAACUGGAGCUUCAAAAAUCCCAAGUGAUAAUUUCUUUUUCUUAUGAUGUAGCUUAUUGAAGUACAUUCUUUUCGCGAGCAUAUCUUUGUUAGAAAAUAAAAAAUUCUCCAAUCAUGGAGGAUUUUUCUUUUCAAACAAAAGAUGGAUUAUCUAUAUUCUAGAGCAAAAAGUUAAUAAGAAAUCUGAUUUCUUCUAAAGAUAGAAUCUGAAAGUUCUUUUUUUCAUUUCAUAUCUGUAGUGAGAAAUAUAAUCGAGUAACAAUUAUUUUCUAUUCUUCACUGAUACUCUGAAUGCUUAUAUGAAAUCAAUAUGCCUUUAAUGAUAUUUAUUAAUGAUUCUAAAAGAAUUUAUUAAAAGAUUUCUUUAUCCAAAAAAAAUAAAAAUACCAAUAAUAGAGAAACUUCUAUUAAAUUGGAAAUCUAAGUUCUGCUGGAUAUUUUCAUACUGGAGAUUUCAAUGUCCAAAGAGGGGUCAUCAUCCCAUUGGGGUGGUUUUAUGUUUUAAAUUAGCUAAAUGGGUGAAAAGAAUCCCAUCAGUCUCCAUUCCUUAAAAUAGCCAGCAAUA